UGCUAGGUUAGCUAGGAGGAGGGAGAC
rnacentral:piRNA from 1 species